AUAACCUAUAAUUUAUUUUAGAGAAAUAUAAUAGUAAGCUUUAAACCAGCUAUCUUUAAGAUUACGUUUUAGUUCAUUAUUUUUUAUUUUGAUUUAUAAAUAUUUUAGGUUUUUUAUUAAGAUUAUUAAUUUAAUUUUGAAAUUUUUGUAAUAAUGAUAGAAUUAGUAUAUUUAUUUGUAUGAAAUUUUUACCUUGUGAACUUAUUAUAAGGAACUAGGCAAAAUUGAUUUUCCGCCUGUUUAUCAAAAACAUGUCCUCUAGUUUAUAUUUUGAGGUCUGGCCUGCUCACUGAGCGUAUUUUUAAAGAGCCGCGGUAUUUUGACCGUGCAAAGGUAGCAUAAUCAUUAGUCUCUUAAUUAGUGGCUGGAAUGAAUGGCUUGACGAGAAAUCAACUGUCUCUUAAUAAAUUUUUGAAUUUAACUUUUGAGUCAAAAGGCUUAAAUUCUUCUUUAGGACGAGAAGACCCUAUAGAGCUUGACAUUUUACUUUUAUAUAGUUUUUUGUUUGUCUUUCUAUAUUUAAUGAUGAUGUUUUGUUGGGGUGACAUGAAGAAUAAAUAAACUCUUCAUUAUUAUAUCAUUUAUUUAUGUUUGUUAUUUUGAUCCAUAAUUUAUGAUCAUAAGAUUAAGUUACCUUAGGGAUAACAGCGUAAUUGUUUUUGAGAGCUCAUAUCGACAAAGCAGAUUGCGACCUCGAUGUUGGAUUAAGAAAAAUUUUGGGUGCAGGAGCCCAAUGAUUAGGUCUGUUCGACCUUUAAAUUCUUACAUGAUCUGAGUUCAGACCGGCGUGAGCCAGGUCGGUUUCUAUCCUAAGAUUGUUAAUCCAUAUUAGUACGAAAGGACCAUAUGGUUAAAAUAUUUUUUGUUAUAUUGAUUAAUAUUAAUUUAUUUA